AGAGCGAACGCUGGCGGCGUGCCUAACACAUGCAAGUCGAACGUGAACGGGGGCAACCCCUAGUAAAGUGGCGUACGGGUGAGUAACGCGUAGGUAAUCUACCCCAGAAUCCGGAAUAACCGGCCGAAAGGCUGGCUAAUAACCGGAUAGAGCGACGGAAUCCGUAAUUGGGUUUUUCGGGAAAGGGGGGCCGUAAGGUCUCUCGUUUUGGGAUGAGCCUGCGUCUCAUUAGCUAGUUGGUGGGGUAAUGGCCCACCAAGGCUUUGAUGGGUAGCUGGUCUGAGAGGAUGAUCAGCCACACUGGGACUGAGACACGGCCCAGACUCCUACGGGAGGCAGCAGCUAGGAAUCUUGCGCAAUGGACGAAAAGUCUGACGCAGCGACGCCGCGUGCGGGAUGAAGGCCUUAGGGUCGUAAACCGCUUUCAGCAGGGACGAAAUUGACGGUACCUGGCAGAAGAAGCCCCGGCAACUACGUGCCAGCCAGCCGC
rnacentral:rRNA from 1 species